rnacentral:siRNA from 1 species
ACUCUAAAAUAGAGGAAAAGUGUA